ACCUCUGCCUCCCAGAUUCAAGCAAUUCUCCUGCCUCAGUCUCCACAGUAGCUGGAACUACUGCCUCCCAGAUUCAAGCAAUUCUCCUGCCUCAGUCUCCGCAGUAGCUGGAACUACAGGGAACAUGACAUCCUCUUCCCAGGGUACACCCACCUGCAGAGGGCCCAACCCCAUCACUGGAGCCACUGGAUUCUGAGGUGAGCUGGCUGAGUUCCUGUUCUAGGCUUCAUUCUGCAUGACCCAUCUCAGCAGGAUGGCCAGGGACCUCAUCCUCUGUGGCACCAAGGAAUUCAGCUUCAUGUAGCUCUCAGAUGCCUACAGCACCAGAAGCAGCCUGAUGCCCCAGAAGAAAAACCCCGACAGCUUGGAGCUGAUCUGGAGCAAAGCAAGGGUGUGUGUUUGGGCAGGAUCCAUGGAGCACGUAACACAUCCUGAUGCUGUUCUCAGCCUUCUAUGGCCUCUUGGUCACCGUUUCCUACCAUCUGAGCUGGCAGAGCAGUGACCCAUCUGUGUUCAUGUGAGUGAUCUAUGCCUGUGCUGUCAUCACUGAGCAGGGGGUGCGGUUCCCACAGCGUUUUGCCCUGACUGAGGUGGGGAGAUGGCAAAUCACUGCCUAUUGUAAUUUGACUCUCA